GUGCAGCAAUGGUGUACAGAAGGAGGGGAAUAUCUCCCGAUGUCCAAACUGCUUGACGGUUGGACCGAGGAGAAAAGGAGAAGAGUGGACACUGGCACAAUUGAUAAGUUUUACCACCAUAACUAUUCCAGCAAGACUUACCGCUCUAUGGUGGAAGUUCAAAGUUAUAUUAAGCAUCACAGCGAUCCACAUAAAAAGAAUUCUAUUACACUUGGAGACUCGCAAGAAAGAAAUCAGGCCUUUGCAUGAUGAAGAAGACGUGACAUCAAAAAUAAACAACAUAUUGUCAAAUUGGGACAAGGAAUAUGCCGACUUUCAAGACAUGGAU